UUAAAGCGCGGAAUUUUCAAAUCUUUCAAAUUUGUUGGAUUAAUUAAGUCCUUAAUUAGCUUCGUUAUUGAAGACAACAACAAAUAGGACACUGAGCAACAUAAUUACUGAUGGUGCCACCAGCAUGGCUGGAAAUGUGUCUCAAUCACCAACUACUGGAAGUUUAGUGAAAGAGAAAAUAUUUCGAACUGGUUCUUUUAUUAAUGAGACCAUCUGUAGUUCACCGAUUCCUCUUGCUACAUCAACUGCAAAGAAGGAAGUGACAACACAAUCCUGUACUUCUGCCACGAAAUCCCCUUCACAUUCAGAAUCUUCUACGAAAACAC
rnacentral:lncRNA from 1 species